UCCGGCGGGGGCGAGCUCCGCGGCCUUCGGGCACAGGGAGGGCCCGACGCCGGGCUCCGUGCGAGCGGAAGGGAGUCCCCGGGAGGGAGAGGCCGCGCACUGUGCGGGUCCUGGGGACGAGGAGGCCUCACCCUCACUGGGUCCCCGAGGCGGGGGGUGGUCGGCGCCCGGUGGGUCCCCGGGAGGAGGAGGUCGGCGCCCGUUGGUUCCCCGGGAAGAGGAGGUCCCGCACCCACCGGCGAGCCCCCGGGAUGGGGGAGGGUCGGCGCCCGCUGGGUCCCCGGGCGGAGGAGGGUCGGCGCCCGUUGGUUCCCCGGGAAGAGGAGGUCCCGCACCCACCGGCGAGCCCCCGGGGCGGGGCAGGGUCGGCGCCCGUUGGUUCCCCGGGAAGAGGAGGUCCCGCACCCACCGGCGAGCCCCCGGGGCGGGGCAGGGUCGGCGCCCGCCGGGUCCCCGGGAGGAGGAGGGUCGGCGCCCGCUGGGUCCCCGGGAGGAGGCGGCACCCUGUGCCUCGAGUGUCCGUCUGUAGACGAGCACCCGGACAGCGCUUGAAUGAAGGAGGGUCCAGGCCCCGCUGUGUCCCUCGGUUUCUUCGGUAACGCAUGAGGGGUCCUGAGCUGGGAGUCCUCGUCCGCCCCCGGCCCUGGAGCCCUGUCUCCCGCGCCGCUACUGUGUCCUUGUCCAAGAGCAAGGCUCGGGCUCCUGGGGAGUCGCCUCCAGCCCCCAUUCAGACUGGGUUGGGGUGCCUGACCAUGAGCAGUGACGUUUGUUUAAAUCACAGUCAGAGCCUUGAGUUGGGACAAGGUUGUGGUUGAUGCUUUGAUGUGGGUUCAGCAGGGAAGUCCCCGCAGCCCCGGGCUCUUCACCCUCCCGUCAGGGUGCACAGAUCUUGUCUGUGUCUCUCCCAGUCGGAGACGAAUCUAUCCACAUGACAUCUUUCUGAGUUUGAGGAAAGCAGGUCUCGUUGGAAGCCUUUUGGGCACAGGUGCUCUUUCUGAGCGUUUGAAUGGGACGUAACAGGACUUCGUGACAGACAUGGGUGUGGAAAGGUCCCGGAGUCCAUCGGGUGGAUUCUGGCCCCUGACUCCACGUCUCCAUCUUCACUGCACACGGUGGUUUGGAGCAGGCUGAGCGUCGGCGCUUCCUCCAUUCUACACGGCGGCUCCUCAGAGAAGCUCGGGGCGCAGAUCAUCCGCUCCCCUGGGGCAGGGCUGGUGUCCGUUCUGUCCCGGCUCAGACCUGCUGGGAGCUCAGGGCCUUCGUCAGGCAGGAUCCACAGGCAGACAUACGCAGGCCUGCUGGGACCCUGGCGAGGGGAGUGCGUGGUGAAGGUGGGCCUCCUCUCGUCCAGAGGGAUGUUGGCCCUGCGCUGAGGUAGGGCUGUGACUGGGCCCAGGCCGCAGAGGGUGUCCAGAUAUGAGGCCUGUGCUGUUGAGGUCCCAGUGACCCAGACGACCGGCACAUUCUCUUGUCAGGGUCCUGGGCCCCACACGUGGACUGGCAGGUGUUUGAGGGGUGCUCCUCAGGAGCCGAGCUCAUGCCGUGAGGUUCGGUCUGGGCCAGAGCAGCUGGGGGCUCUGGCCCUUGGGCGCGCUGGCCUCGGUGCAGGGGCGCUCGGUGUCUCGUGCAGCAUGGCUCUCUGAUGCCGCCGCCAGGCUCACAGGGGAGCCGGGCCUGGGCCUGGAGGUCUGACCUGGAAUCGUGGUGAGCAGUGGCCUCCCUGGGCCAGGGCGUGGGGUGAGUAGGGUUGUGGAGGAAGCAUGUCUGACCGAGACUUGAGGGAGGGGGAGCGUGGAAAGCAGAGCCUGAAAGGGCGGGGAGAGCCGCUGCUUGGAGGCUGGGGGGUCCUGUGGGGGGGUGCCUGUGCUGGGGGCGGGGGCUCACUGGCGUGUGCUUUCUGUUGUUUCUGGAGCCUUUGCCUGGCACCUCCCCUCUGGUUCACGUGUCCCCGCCAGCCUGCCCACCGUGGGUGAACCGCACUUGUAGAGGCUUCCUUUGCUGUCGGCGCUGGGGAGCCUUCCUUGUGUGGUUACUAGAGUCUGGCGGAGACCUCCUCCCUUGCCAGAUGCGUGGACUUGGCGUUGUCUGCCCCCUCUCCGCCUGCUGUCCUGUGUGUGCCUGGCGCAGUGGGGCCCGCGGAUGGCGCAGUGUGUGGCAGAGCUGCGAGACCAGCCGGGGCCUCCAGCAGGGGCUUCCUGUGCUGGGUCCCGGCCGGGUGGCAUGCCCAAGGGCCAGCCCUCUGCCGGGGGUCCCAGCCUGGCCCACACAGGACAGGCAGCGUUCAGCCUCAGCCCAGGGUCACUGACCAGGGGACCCGGGCUGACUCUGAAGCCUGACUGUCUCCUCCCGCACCUGGGGAAGGCAGAUGGGUCACUGACCAGGGGACCCAGGCCAACUCUGAAGCCUGAUGUCUCCUCCCGUGCCUGGGGAAGGACGGAUGGGCAGGGCCCCCGGGCACGAGAAGGCAGAAGUGGCCCGCCCACUUGGAGAUUCUCUGUCCCCGAGUAGGGCGCCCGAGGGGCUGGGGACUGACUUAAACUCCAGAAGACAUGGCAUUUGUGUCUUCAGAAUAGUUUUCCCUGAGUGGCCACUGAGGGCUGCCCGCCCUGUGCCGUCUGCCCCCUUUCAGCGGUGCUGGCAUUUCCCUUCUGACUACCUUCUGCACCCUGUGCUUCUGUCUGGUCUACAGAGCGUGGAAAAGAUGACUGGGCACCCACGGGAGCAACUGUGUGGGGGUCGGAGGAGGUUUGUGGCACGUGUCGCUGCAGACCCCAUGCCAUGCUGUGUGCCCACAGACUCUAGGCCGACGGGAGCAAUGAGGGCCACUUGUCCAGCUUUUGGAGAUGUGGGCUGGUCAGCGCAGCCCCUUUCUGUCGUUUGCCUCGUGAGGCCUGAGGGCGAGCUGUCGGGUGAUGCCACUUGGCCUGUGAUGACCAGGUCCUCGUCAGCCUUGCACAAAGUGAUCACUGUUGCUGAACCUGUGACCCACCAGGGGUGGCAGAGAGUUGUGUUUGAGUUUUAUCGCUUGGUUUUGGGGGGCCUGUUGGUAUAGAUGAGUGCGCUCUAGUUGUCCUUAAGUACAGUCUGUAUGGAAAGCAAGACGCAGGCUCAGGUCUUGCUCUGUCUUGGCAGUAUUCAAAGGAAGGAGCGGUUCUUCUCUUCGGGCUGGUGCGUGGCUUUGUCUCUCUCUUGGUUGGAGUCUGGCCCGAGCUCCCUUCUUGCUCAAGUGGCCCGCUCUCGCCAGGGGAGUCCAUCCCUCUGGCCCAAGUCCUGGGCGAGGGGUGGCUUCUCCGCCUGGCUGGCCCGUGUCCUGAUUCCCCAGGCCCCAAGAGCUCUGCUCUGGAUUCUCUGCGGCUGAGCUAGGAGCGCUUCCGGGCUGAGAAGGCCCCGUCUUCCUGUGAGUCAGACCUUGUUGCGUGUGGUGGCCCUGCUGGCCUGUGCUGGCCUUUCUUGUUUGGUUUGUUGCGAUGAGGGACGCCAGCUUGCUUUCAGGGAGCGUCUGCUUGGUGGAUUUCCGUUCUCGGACUCACUCUUCUGAGUGCGGGUGUCGGGUGGGUCUGCCGUCAGCAGCGCGCACUCGACCGUCAGGUCUUCACCCUUUGACGGGAACGUGUUAGUGUUAUGUGCACAGUUACACACACGCUGUUUGUUCCCAGCACUUCCUUUUGUGCUUUUAUUUGCCUGCUUUUCUUCUUUUUCUCUCCUGCCUUCUGUUGGAGUCAUUGACCCAGGUACGUUCCAUUUUCGUUCUCUGCUGGUUUGGAAACACGU